UGAGGGCCCUCUGGGUCCAACCUCCCACCCGUGUUUAUUUUACCUUGUUGCUUCGGCGGGCCCGCCUUAACUGGCCGCCGGGGGGCUCACGCCCCCGGGCCCGCGCCCGCCGAAGACACCCUCGAACUCUGUCUGAAGAUUGAAGUCUGAGUGAAAAUAUAAAUUAUUUAAAACUUUCAACAACGGAUCUCUUGGUUCCGGCAUCGAUGAAGAACGCAGCGAAAUGCGAUACGUAAUGUGAAUUGCAAAUUCAGUGAAUCAUCGAGUCUUUGAACGCACAUUGCGCCCCCUGGUAUUCCGGGGGGCAUGCCUGUCCGAGCGUCAUUGCUGCCCUCAAGCCCGGCUUGUGUGUUGGGCCCCGUCCUCCGAUCUCCGGGGGACGGGCCCGAAAGGCAGCGGCGGCACCGCGUCCGGUCCUCGAGCGUAUGGGGCUUUGUCACCCGCUCUGUAGGCCCGGCCGGCGCUUGCCGAUCAACCCAAAUUUUUAUCCAGGUUGACCUCGGAUCAGGUAAGGGAUACCCGCUGAACUUAAGCAUAUCAAUAAGCGGAGGAA
rnacentral:rRNA from 1 species